rnacentral:rRNA from 1 species
UACAGAGGUCUCAAGCGUUGUUCGGAUUCAUUGGGCGUAAAGGGCGCGUAGGCGGCAAUUCAAGUCAGUUGUGAAAUCUCCGAGCUUAACUCGGAACGGUCAACUGAUACUGUCUUGCUAGAGUACAGAAGGGGCAAUCGGAAUUCUUGGUGUAGCGGUGAAAUGCGUAGAUAUCAAGAGGAACACCUGAGGUGAAGACGGGUUGCUGGGCUGAUACUGACGCUGAGGCGCGAAAGCUAGGGGUAGCA